UAGGACUUCGAGUUGGCUCGUAAAACUCUCCAUUCACCUCGUUGUUGACUUACCUUCUGACUGUACCAUUGUCUAGCUUCUCCCCUUAAGGAAAAAGGAAAAAGCUUCCAACGUAAGGUUUUAUCAGAAAUGCCUUCAAUGCGAAGACAAUCACAUGUUUGCUCAAAAUCUCUAAUAUGAAGGUAAGGGUUUCCGUCUUCCUUUCCCGAAAAAGAUAGGUUUUGGAUCAUGGCAACCAACCUAGAACUUAACUUAUACUGGGAUGUUUGGAUAGGCUGUGAUGAUUCCCAUGGUAAAAGGUCAGUUACUGAAGGGAUUGCAGAUUCAUGGAUCGAUUUAGAAUUUUGGUUUUCCAUAAGGUAAGAAUAAAGAAAAUAAAUACAGAAUAUAAAAGAUAAAAGUAUAGAUACAAGCUAGUAGUAAGACUCAAGGUUAUCUCAGCAAACCGUCUUUCUCCCCGACAACGGCGCCAGAAAUGCUUGUUGAUAUUUGGGAACACAAUAAGGAAUUGAUCCACAAGUGCACGGAUAUCGGUGAGCACUUCACCCGGGAGGUUAUCUAGAGUAUCGUAUUUAUUUUUUUACCACUAGGAGAAAGAGUGCAUCUGACUAACCGGUCUAUUACUACUAACCCUUUAGGCAACAAAGAAUGUUCUUGAUGUGAGUGAUAAAUAGAGAAGACUGCAACCGUAGUCUCCUUCUCACCUUGGUAAGGAGGAUCUACUGUUCUAUUGGGGAGGCUAACGGAAUCUAGACACCACAAAGGAUGUUCAACCCACACCUAUAAACCCUAUCCUUCCUGCUAACGAGAUAUGGUCUGCAAAGGUAACUCGGAAUUGUCACGUUCCUCACUACUACCACAGUCCAGCUAGUCAGGGAAUAUCUAUGAGUACCCCAGCUAUGUUUACGCCAGCAAUGAUUACUCUAAACUCUAUGCGAAGAGAUUACAGUAAACUCAUAAACCAAAAGACGAAAUACUGAAGAAUCCUAAGAGCAAGCUUCGGGUUAGGAGAACUUGAUCCCGCAGGUACAAGCUUGGAGUAGACACCGAUAGGCCGGGCUUCCUCCAAUCUACACCUCCACUCUAUCUCUCUCAAUCUAGUAGAAACUAGAAGAUCUAUUUCUACUUAUAUUGGUUGCUAAGCCUAAAAAGAAAUUUUAUUUAGAGAAGAGGUUUUCCUUCGAGGGCACCCCUCAACUCUAUGAUAACUUCUUGUCUCCUCCAGGGGCUACGGGGGUCUCCUUAUAUAGUCCUCCUCCUCUAUGCAUUUUUGGGUCGGUAGGCGCUGUGAUACUACGUUAUCCUUGAUCCUUUAGGUCAGUGGAACAUCGUGUGCGAAGAGAGUCCCGAACGGAGUCUAGCAGGGGGCGGGCACCCUGGGCCUGGCCCCUUUCGGCCUCUGCUUUCUUCCCGUGGCUUCUGGAGUCUUCUAGAUGGUAGAAAAUUGCGCGGUACGUUGAUAUCUCUAUGUAAUCCCGACAUGUGGGCCUUUCUUCCUUAUUUCCUGAUAACCCCCUUGCAGAAACAGAUAAACAACAAAACUCGUGGAAUUCUGUCAGAUCAAACCCUAAUUCUAGGUGUUGUUUGCAUAUUGGUCCUUUCUCUUGUUUAUUUGAUAAUUAAAAUUGAUACUUAAGAACCGUCAACAGGAGGCACCCUCACGUGUAUCUAGAUAAGUAUUACUUUUCUUUCUUGGUUUUAUUUAUUAGUAUUUGGAAAUAAAAAAAUGCAUAACCAUGAAACCAAACAAAGUUUUUCUUUUGAAUAAUAUACAAUAGUUUUGUAUAAUCCUAAGUUUUAAAUAAAAUAAAAAGAAAGUUUGAUCCAAGUCUAGGUAAUUGACAAACUUGAUAUGAGAAGGUCUGAGCUACUAUUUAACUUGUUCCAAGUUUUGCUAGAGUUCUGGAGAUUUUAUCUUUUGAAAAUCUAAAAGUUCAUAUAUAUAUAAAAAAAAGAAGCCAUUGUUAAUUCUUGUAGUUUUGGUUGAGAGUAUUAUCAUGCUCCAAAGAUCAAGAUCUUUUUGUUUUAAAAAUAUAAAAGAUUCACUCUUCCGAAGUAUUAUUGCGUUAGAGGCAUGGGACUAUGCAAAAAUUUGAUUCGAAAAGAAAGAGAGUGAGACGAGAGAUAAAAAUGGACAAGUGUCCGAAGUAGAAUUAGGGGUACAAAGAUACUCACCUGAGUGGAAAAAAAUGGACAUGUGUCCAACAGUAGAAUUAGGGGUACUUGCUGCCUACUUGAAAAAAAAGAGAAAAAGAAAAAAAAUGAUGAUAGCCCAUGGUCCCUCUAAUAAGCAAUAUGCUAGUAAGAGAUGACAAACUUUUCAAAAAGGUCAAAUGUCUUGAUCUAGGAGUAUGACAUUCCUCUCCCUUGCUCCGAGCAUUGACAUAGCAAAAUGCAAAGUAAGUAUGCUAAAACUUUUAAAGCUCUACUUAUAUAUCUUUUGAGAAGAAGGCAAAUUCCUCAGUUUUAUUUUGGAAACCUACAAACAACUCCAGAAGAAAGGUAAGACAGAAGAACUUGAGACAUAGUGCUUGACUUGAUCGUUCUAUUUUUCAAUCACUUAAGACCUUAGUGAUAACUUAAAAACCCUAUAGUAAGAGGCAUAAAAGUAACCCCUGUUUUCUUGCUGAUUUUAGCUUUGCUCAGGGACGAGCAAGGGUUAAGCUUGGGGGAGCUUGUUGACGGUCCUUAAUGCUCACAUUUAACUGUCAACUAAUCAUAGAAAAGGAUCCAAAUGCAACCAACACCUAGACUUAGGGUUUUAUCUGACAGAAUACCACGAGUUUAGGUGUUUGUCUAUUUCUGCAGGGGGUUAUCAGGAAAUAUGGAAGAAAGGCCCACAUAUCGGGAUUACAUAGAGAUAUUAAUGUGCCAUGCAAUUUUCUACCAUCUAGAAGACUCCAGAAGCCAUGGGAACGAACGGGAAGGCAAUCAGGCUCGGAGGCAGGGCGCCCGCCCUACUCUCCUGGGCGCCUACCCUGGUACAGUGCCCAAUCAGAGUCCUUUUCGCGGAUCAUGCUCGAGGGUCAAGUACCUAAGGGAUUAAGGAAAACCGUGCGAUUAAUGUCGGUUUGAUCCGACGGCCCAUAUUCAUCUGAAAAGACUAUAUAAGCAAGCCCCCUGGCCCCUGGAGAUCAUACCUCUUCUACAAAAUCAAAGUUAGGGUUUCAAAUCUUCAUCCAAGUAGAGAGGAUCCCUCUAGUUCAUCUAGUUCUACCUCUAGUUCAUUUAAUUCUAGUUCUAGUUCAUCUAUUUCUAGUUCUAGUUCCUCUAGUUCUAGUUCUAGUUAGUUCUAGUUGUAAUCUAGAAAAUAGGGAGAGAGAAGAGGAGAGCGGAGGAGGAGCCAGAUCUGUCAGAUCUUCCUCAACAUUGUACUUUUGCAGCAACUGGUUCGUUCUUCAUCGUUCUCUAGGUUCUUCAAUUC
rnacentral:lncRNA from 1 species